AUAUUAUUUUUCUGGCAAUAAUUCAAAAUUUAUGUUGACUUGAAAUGAAGUGAUCAAUAUUGAUUAGUUAAUUUAGAAACAAAUUAAUGUAUUAUUGGAUGAUUGACUUUAAAAUAUUUCUUAAAUUUUAAUGUUAUUUAUUUGAUGAUAUCUAAAAGGAUAAGCUUUUUGUAGCUAUUGGAUUUGAAAAUGUUAAUACUCGAUAAUUGUGCUACGUGUCUUACUUUAGAAUAUUGAUGUUUGCAAUGUCCUAUUUAUUGCGUCACUUUUCACUCGUGUCUUUAAAUUUUCUUGUAUUCCCGUCUUCUCGGGUUCUUCUACGGAAGAACAAUUAUAUGUUCUUCAUUCAAAUUUUAUUUUUCUACAUUUUUUUGUUAAUCCUUAAGUCAAAUAAUUAAACAAAAUAAACACAAACCGUAAAACGUAUAAUGACAAAUAAUAAGGUUGUCAUUGUUGUGCACCUCCUCGUCAUUAUCAUCAAUGGAUAUGAAUUUACACUUCAUUUUGUGGUUUAUAGCUUGUUUCCAUACAAUAUUGAUAUAGGUUUUUCUCAUAAAACAAAUAGCUCCAUAUGAUGAAAUUUCUUGCUUAAUGUUGUUGCUCAUGUCAACCAAAAUUACUGUAACAUUCAAUGUCGAAGAAGAUUGAUUGUUACAGUGACUGCAAUAGUAAUGAACAACAAAAUUCUCAAUGCGAUAAGACUUUUCUAUCACUAUAUUUUCACAAAGUCAACACUCUCAACAUAAAAUGUUAAUGUUAGAUCAGAGUAUUAAUUAAAAAUAGUAAA
rnacentral:sRNA from 1 species